rnacentral:rRNA from 1 species
CCUACGGGAGGCAGCAGUGAGGAAUAUUGGUCAAUGGACGAGAGUCUGAACCAGCCAAGUAGCGUGAAGGAUGACUGCCCUAUGGGUUGUAAACUUCUUUUAUAUGGGAAUAAAAUGUUCCACGUGUGGGAUUUUGUAUGUACCAUAUGAAUAAGGAUCGGCUAACUCCGGGCCAGCAGCCGCGGUAAUACGGAGGAUCCGAGCGUUAUCCGGAUUUAUUGGGUUUAAAGGGAGCGUAGGUGGAUUGUUAAGUCAGUUGUGAAAGUUUGGGGCUCAACCGUAAAAUUGCAGUUGAAACUGGCAGUCUUGAGUACAGUAGAGGUGGGCGGAAUUCGUGGUGUAGCGGUGAAAUGCUUAGAUAUCACGAAGAACUCCGAUUGCGAAGGCAGUUCACUGGACUGCAACUGACACUGAGGCUCGAAAGUGUGGGUAUCAAACAGGAUUAGAUACCCCAGUAGUC